GAUAACGGCGCUGAUGAUUCUCUUGAUGAUGCAAUUAAAGACCGUUUAUUAGCUAUAUGACCUCAGUGAUUGUGAUAAAGCUAUUGAUAGUGAGAGCCGUGAUUACAAUUAUGAUCAAUGACAACAGUGUGGUAGAGUAUUAAAAGUACAUCAAACAGCAAGGGGCUCAAUUUUCAGCCCUGCCUCCUCUAUCCUCUGUAACCUUGGCCACAUCACAGCGCUGAAGGCUAGAAGGCCACGUGGAACUUACCUAAUCCACUUCCUCAAUUGACAGAUGAGGCAAUUCUGGUCCAGAGAGAUGAGGUGAGCUGAAUGAGAUAUCACGGUGAAGAGAAUGUGUCUGGGGGAGACGGUUCCAGCGGUGGGAGAAAUGUCUGCUGUCUGCCUGAUGCAUCAUCCCCGGCCGGCCGGAUUCUCUGCUUCACAAGCCAGCCUUCUCCUCAUUGGAGGAGGGGCAGCAUGUUGGAGGAAAGAGUAGGCAAAUAAACCAGAGGCCUCAGAACGGGGGAGGUAUGACUGGACCCAGGGAUGCUGGCUGUCUUUUCCGUGGGAUCACUCUAGUAUGCCUAGGGUUGGCAAUACUGAUCUCAAAAUUUCAAGCUUAGCUGAGCUCCUCGCUUCAAGUCUCUCUGGCUGAGCUAAGAUGGCCAGAACAUAGGGGAACUUAGGUAGAUGUUAAGUCCAAAGAAAGAAAGGGUAUUGCCCAGGUCAGAAACCAGGGUCAGAUCCAGUCAUCCUCCCAUAGUCACAGGGCUUGUUGUAGCUCACUAGGGUUCACGGGAAGUGUGCUCAAGACUUUCUGCUAAGCACCUUCUGUAUACUAGACUCCAUAAUGCUCAUAACUACCCUGAGAGAUACAUAUGACAAUCUUGGGGAAAAGAACCUAAAUCUACACCACUGUUCUGUGACUGUGGCUCUGUGGCUAGGAUUCAAACUCAGGGCUCUCUGAUACGAAAGCCUGAGACUGAUUUUCAGAACGUGUAGCAGGAGGGGAGGGGAUAGUAGUCUCUGUCGUUUCAUAGCAUGCCCAUCAGAUGUCUGCUUGACCACACCUCUUACAUGCAUGGAACUGAAUGGCUUCAUUUUUAAAGAUGUACUGUAGUGUGCGAGCUGGGGAGAUAGUUCAGUCAGCAACAGGUCUGCCUUACAUCAAGAGGACAUGAAUUUGAUCCUCAGAACCUACCUAAAAACAACCAAGUAUGGUAAUCCCCAAACUGGAAAGACAGAGACAUGUAGCUAUUUGAGGAUUACUGACCAACCAGUAGCCUAGGCUUCUUGAUGAAUUGCAGGCCAGUGAGAAAUCCUGUUGCAAAAACAAAGAGAAGAAAGAAGAAAAUUAAAAGAAAUCGUGUCUGAGGA